UGAACCUUCGGGGAACGAUAACGGCGUCGAGCGGCGGACGGGUGAGUAAUGCCUAGGAAAUUGCCCUGAUGUGGGGGAUAACCAUUGGAAACGAUGGCUAAUACCGCAUAAUACCUUCGGGUCAAAGAGGGGGACCUUCGGGCCUCUCGCGUCAGGAUAUGCCUAGGUGGGAUUAGCUAGUUGGUGAGGUAAUGGCUCACCAAGGCGACGAUCCCUAGCUGGUCUGAGAGGAUGAUCAGCCACACUGGAACUGAGACACGGUCCAGACUCCUACGGGAGGCAGCAGUGGGGAAUAUUGCACAAUGGGCGCAAGCCUGAUGCAGCCAUGCCGCGUGUGUGAAGAAGGCCUUCGGGUUGUAAAGCACUUUCAGUCGUGAGGAAGGUAGUGUAGUUAAUAGCUGCAUUAUUUGACGUUAGCGACAGAAGAAGCACCGGCUAACUCCGUGCCAGCAGCCGCGGUAAUACGGAGGGUGCGAGCGUUAAUCGGAAUUACUGGGCGUAAAGCGCAUGCAGGUGGUUUGUUAAGUCAGAUGUGAAAGCCCGGGGCUCAACCUCGGAAUAGCAUUUGAAACUGGCAGACUAGAGUACUGUAGAGGGGGGUAGAAUUUCAGGUGUAGCGGUGAAAUGCGUAGAGAUCUGAAGGAAUACCGGUGGCGAAGGCGGCCCCCUGGACAGAUACUGACACUCAGAUGCGAAAGCGUGGGGAGCAAACAGGAUUAG
rnacentral:rRNA from 1 species